GAGGACCGGAGUGGACGCAUCACUGGUGUUCGGGUUGUCAUGCCAAUGGCAUUGCCCGGUAGCUAAAUGCGGAAGAGAUAAGUGCUGAAAGCAUCUAAGCACGAAACUUGCCCCGAGAUGAGUUCUCCCUGAGACUUUAAGUCUCCUGAAGGAACGUUGAAGACGACGACGUUGAUAGGUCGGGUGUGUAAGUGUAGCGAUACAUUGAGCUAACCGAUACUAAUGAACCGUGAGGCUUAACCUUACAACGCCGAAG
rnacentral:rRNA from 1 species